rnacentral:rRNA from 1 species
GCCAGCCCGCUCAGAAACUUAAAGGAAGUUGACGGGGCCCGCACAAGCGGUGGAGCAUGUGGUUUAAUUCGAUGAUACGCGAGGAACCUUACCUGGGCUCAAAUGUAUGUUGACGUAUUCUGAAAGGGAUACUUCUUCGGACAAUAUACAAGGUGCUGCAUGGUUGUCGUCAGCUCGUGCCGUGAGGUGUCGGGUUAAGUCCCAUAACGAGCGCAACCCCUAUCAUUAGUUGCCAUCAGGUCAAGCUGGGGACUCUAAUGAAACUGCCUACGCAAGUAGUGAGGAAGGUGGGGAUGACGUCAAAUCAGCACGGCCCUUACGUCCAGGGCUACACACGUGCUACAAUGGCCGGUACAAAGGGCAGCUACCUGGUGACAGGAUGCAAAUCUCCAAAGUCGGUCUCAGUUCGGAUCGGAGUCUGCAACCCGACUCCGUGAAGUUGGAUUCGCUAGUAAUCGCGCAUCAGCCAUGGCGCGGUGAAUACGUUCCCGGGCCUU